rnacentral:misc_RNA from 1 species
AAGAAGAAGAAGAAGAAGAAGUAAAGGCAAGGGAAAAUUUUUGCUGGUCUCUUCCCUUAGGCUGGUUGUGGAAAUGGCCACCUUUGGAGGAACUCAACAAAAAUGUAUGGCCUGUGAAAAAACUGUGUAUCUUGUUGAUAAGUUGACUGCUGAUAAUAGGAUUUACCAUAGAACCUGCUUUAGAUGCCACCAUUGCAAUGGUACCCUUAAGCUAAGCAACUAUUGUUCUUUCGAAGGAGUUUUGUACUGCAGGCCUCACUAUGAUCAACUCUUCAAGCGAACUGGCAGUCUGGACAAGAGCUUUGAAGGUUAAAUCACUAAUCAUAUUCAACAUUCAAAGCUUUAACACACUUGUUAGAUUCUCUUUAACUAUUUAUAAUCAACUUUCUCUUAUACAUCCUCUAUGAUUCUUUCAGGAAUACCAAAAAUUGCCAAACCAGAAAAACCUGUCGAUAAUGAGGUAAUCAUAAUCUCUGGACCCCAUUGGAUCGAUGUUUUAUUUGCAUAUUCUUGUAUUGAUAUACACUUGACAAACAUUCUGGAAUUUUGUUUCUCACAGAACGCAAGCAAAGUCUCAAAUAUGUUUGCAGGCACCAGAGAAAAAUGUGCGGGUUGCACUAAGACUGUCUACCCUAUUGAGAGGGUAUGUCAAGCUCUAUAUCAAUUUGUUGAUUAGUGAUUAUAAAUUUACGUAACUCUGAAACGAAGAAUGGUGUUUCUUGAAGGUGACAGUGAAUGGAACUCAUUACCACAAGAGCUGCUUCAAGUGCACUCAUGGUGGUUGUACUAUAAGCCCAUCAAAUUACAUUGCACAUGAAGGAAAACUAUACUGCAAGCAUCACCAUAUCCAACUCUUCAAGGAAAAAGGAAAUUACAGCCAGCUCGAGAACGAUCGAGAGCCAGCCACCACAGAGAAAAUCACGGCCGUGGAAAUUGCUGCUGAAUCAUAAUUAUGAAGUGAUUAAAUAAAGCUGCAGCUUCUUGUCUAAAACUGAUGCUCUUUACGCAUGUUCUAGCUACUCUACAGACUACACGUUAUUCAUUUUCUUGACGGUUUUUCUUCUCCUAGACCAUUGGGUCAAGGUUGUUGAUGUGUUUUCAGAUGUAAGAUUUUGUGAUAGAUCAAUGGCUAUGAAUGUGGGCACCAUAAAUGUGUUACCGGGCGAGAUUGAGUGAGAUGAAGAUAGAAUGGGAUACAGGUUUUGUUUCAGAAUUUGCUCAUGUCCUGAGCUUUGUAAUCAGUGCACGGUUGUUCUAAGUGAUGUCUGUUUUUUGUUUUCUUGUCUCUUCCCUUAAAAUUUUCUGUCAGCUUGAGCUUACUUGAACAAUUUACUAAGCUCCGGCCGAUCAAUCACACCUGUUGACAACUUCACAUCC